GACGAACGCUGGAGGUAUGCCUCAUACAUGCAAGUCGAACGGAGUCAUGAAGAGCUUGCUCUUUAUGGCUUAGUGGCGAACGGGUGAGUAACGCGUGGGUGACCUGCCUCUCAGACUGGGACAACAGUGGGAAACCACUGCUAAUACCAGAUAAUCUCCAAUCAUUGGAUGUUUGGAGUAAAAGCUGCCAGAAUCAUUGGUAGUACUGAGAGAGGGGCCUGCGUCCUAUUAGCUAGUUGGUGAGGUAACGGCUCACCAAGGCGAAGAUGGGUAGCCGGCUUGAGAGAGUGAUCGGCCACACUGGAACUGAGACACGGUCCAGACUCCUACGGGAGGCAGCAGUAGGGAAUAUUCCGCAAUGGGGGCAACCCUGACGGAGCAAUACCUCGUGGAUGAUGAAGGGUUUAGGCUCGUAAAAUCCAGUCAGCAGGAAAGAAGGCUUGUAGUUCAAAUAGGGCUACAGGAUUGACGGUACCUGCAGAGGAAGCAACGGCUAAUUACGUGCCAGCCGCCGCAGUAACAC
rnacentral:rRNA from 1 species